rnacentral:lncRNA from 1 species
UUUUUAGGGUCAGUUUCAGGUCCAGCGAUCUGAUUUUGAAGAAUUAUCGGGGUGUGAAAUCAACUCUCUCAUCAGCUGAGAACGGAGGCUACAGGGAGGCGCCGUUAUCUCUCAGAAAAGAUGCAGCACAAACAACCUGCCAGCCCCCGCGUGAAUUCGUUAACGGAAACACUGGUUGUGACCUGCAGUGAACUUUGGAAACGAAUUUAAAACUCACCUUGAUCAGAGUUCCUUAAUGAGGAGUUGGGAGAGGAAGGAUCCUCAUUAUUCCCUCUUCGCUACCUCCUCUCUACAACCCCAUUCCAAAGCGACUGACCUUCAACAGAAUGUAUUUCUAUAAAGAUAAAAACAACGAAACUCCCAAGACGUCUAUAUUUGGAAUAUACAGGGAAAACUAGGAAUUUAAUAGCUGAGUUCACGUCCUGCCAACAAAACUUAGAAGGAAUCAACAAACUUCAAGUUCAGGCGCAUAUGUGGUACCCUGUGGCCUAGCGAGAAGAUCGCAGAUGACAUGGGAGGCCUUCAUCUUCUGCAUCUGUCCGACCUUUUCAGCUCCUCUUCUGGUCACUCUGUCAAGGGGGCCUGGAACUCCUGAGAAGUGAAAGGACCAGCCCUAUCUCAGAUGGUGCGGGUUUCUUCGCCCUGACCUCUGCCAUGUUUGCUUGGAGCCCCAGAGCUCAUCCUUCAAGGCCUUUUUAAAAAUAGCACAGCCUCUGUCAAGCCUUCUUGAAAAAUUAAAUUUUUUAUUGUAAAAACUUUCAAACAUAUAAAGAAUGUGAAAGAAUAGGCAAUUAUCUGUAUACUCAUCACCCACAUUCAAUAAUUAACAUUUUGCCGUCUUAGCCUCAUCUACCUAUUUCUACUGAAUCAUAUGAAACUCACUUGCAGACAUUGUGAUAUAGAACACCAAAAUCCAUAAACAUGUGUCGCCUAAACAUGCGU